rnacentral:lncRNA from 1 species
CUCAGCCUCCCGAGUAGCUGGGACUACAGGCGACUGCUGCCACGCCCGGCUAAUUUUUUGUGUUUUUAGUAAAGACAAGGUUUCACCGUGUUAGCCAGGUCGAUCUCCUGACCUCGUGGUCCACCCGCCGAACGAGGUCGAUCUCCUGACGUCGUGGUUCACCCGCCUCGGCCUCCCAAAGUGCUGGGAUUACAGACGUGAGCCACCGCGCCCGGCAUGAAUAGUACUUAUACAUGUUUAGAUGCAAAUCUUUCCUUGUUGGGAAUUGCUGUGGUCUGAAUGUGUCCCCUAAAAUUAAUGUGUUGGAAACUCAAUUUCCAAUGUCACAGUGUUGGAAUGUGGAAGUUUUUGGGAGGUGUUUAAUGGAUUAAUACUGUUAUAAAAAGGCUUUGCAGGAAUGGAUUUACUCUUUUCCUUUUCUGCUCUUCUGCCAUGUGAAGACAUAGUGUUCCUCCCCUCUGGAGGAUGCGGCGCUCAAGAUGCCAUGUUGGAAACAGAGAAACUGGACCCUGAUCUACCGGUGCCUUGACCUUGGACUGCCCAGCCUCCAGACCUGUGUGAAAUAAAUUUAUUUUCUUUAUAAAUUAUCCAAUCGGUGGUAUUCUGCUAUAGAAGCACAAAACAGACUAAGACAGGCAAGAAGAUUAUUCUGGCUGCAUAGAUGAGUUGGGAAAUAGUCUAUCUUCUAUUUUCUGGAAGAUUUUUUUGUAAUGUUAGCAUAAUCUGCUGUUCUAACGUUUGGUAGAACUUGCCCAUAAAACUGUAUGUGCCUGGGGAGGCAACAUUUCAACUUCAAUGUAUUUAAUAGUUAAAGGAAAAUUCAGUCUCUCUAUUCUCUUGAUUUUUUAAACCAAAUUAUACUAUUCUAAGUAUUUGUUUAACCUAAAUUUUAAAAUUUAGAAUAUAAAGCUUUUGACGAAAUUCUCAGUGUAUUUUAAACCUCUGUUUCAUCUAUAAUUAUGGUUCAUUUACAUUCCUAAUACUAUUUUUUCUUCUUUCUUUUUAUCUUCAUCAGUUUUACCAUAGUCUUUCCUAAGAACCCAAUUUUGGCUUUGUUGACCUUUUCUAUUGUAUUUUUUGUUGUUGGUUGUGGUGAUCUUGAGUUCUGGCCUUAUCUUUAUGUCUUUACUUCUCUCCUUGAGCUAAUUCUAUUGUUUGUUUGUUUUUGUUUUUUUACUUCUGAUUUUGGAAGUUUAGCUUGUUAAUUUUCAGCUAUUUUUCUUUUAUGUACUUUCUGUAUUGUUAUAUUUGACUAUUAAAA